UACAGAGGUCCCAAGCGUUGUUCGGAUUCACUGGGCGUAAAGGGUGCGUAGGUGGUCGGAAAAGUCUAACGUGAAAUCCCAGGGCUUAACCCUGGAACUGCGUCGGAUACUGUUCGGCUUGAGGGUUGGAGGGGGGACUGGAAUUCUCGGUGUAGCAGUGAAAUGCGUAGAUAUCGAGAGGAACACCAGUGGCGAAGGCGAGUCCCUGGACAACUCCUGACACUGAGGCACGAAAGCGAGGGGAGCAAACAGG
rnacentral:rRNA from 1 species